GCGGCGGUGACACCCCAAACCACCCCAAAAUUUAACCACACAAUCUCCAGCCUCCCCUCAUCCCUAUCCUACCACCAAUUUCCCCAAAUCCCCACCCAUUUUCUUCAAUUUCAAAUCUGAGAUUCCAAAAAGAAAUAAAAACCCUAAUCCGUUCCUCUUUCUGAUUUUAAUGGUUUUCAAGGCUUGAUUCGAGCCGAAAUUUAUGCCAAUCGAUUGUUCUCAGUAAGAACAAUCGAUUAGUGUCAUUUUCGGCCUAUUUCGAAGUUCGCCGGAUUCCGGCAAGUCACUGCUGACCAGCAGAGUUCAUCACUUUCAUCGUUUCGUCGGUCUACUUCAUUCGUCGUCACGUUUCCGGCCCAAAAUCAGUCACUUUGAGUUUAGAAAAGCAUCAGCAGCACCUUAUGAUUUUGAUUAUGGCUAAAUGGAUUCGGAGUUCAAACCGGCAUAAAGUUAUUUGUUGUCUUAGUAGUUAAAAAUAGUUGAAAUGAUUCUUCCAGUUUAGAAUUCAGGUUGUUCUUGUAAAAUUAAUUUAUUGUGUGAUGAUUUAUUUGUGCUCAUUUAUGUAAUAAAAGUAGUUGCAGUAGUAUUCAAUUUCAAAGUAAAGUGAAUGUGAGGCUGUUUAUGUAAAGCUAGAAUAGGAGGAUCCAUUCCUAUGUCUAUAUCUCUGUUUCGUUUCAACAUUGAACACAUAUAUUUUGUCUUCCACUGUUCUGAUUCUGAAAUUAUGAUAGUUUAUUCAA